rnacentral:lncRNA from 13 species
ACCUACAUGAAUGUUUAUGUUCAUUGAGGAGCAUAUGGUAAACAUGAAUACGGUCUAAUUACUUCUGUGAUUUGGUUACUUCUAACACUUACCUCUAGGGGGAGGUUGCUCGGUGGCGGUUUUCCUCCCCUUUCCUCUGGGCUUGCUGGUGUUCAGGAUCACGGCAGAGCCAGAGGUGACUGUGUAUGAACUGAUGGCAGGAUGUGGUCUUCGCAUCAGGAAGCAGCUCACCACAGGCAGAUGCCAUGGAAGGACGCUCCUGAACCAACACAGUCAUGCUGUGAGGAAGUUCAAAGCAGCCACAUAGUCAGAUUACGGGAAAGCAGCUCAUCUCUGCUGUUUCAGCCUUCUCUGCCAAGGUGCCAAGUUUGGUUUCUGCUCCCAUGCUCUGAAAAUGUCAGACAACAUUGCACCAAAACUGUCUUCUGGGUUUCCAGCCUGCCAACCUGUUCUGUGGAUUUUGGACUGGCUAGCCUCCACUAUCACAUGAUCUGGUUCUUUAAUAUCUCUCUCUCUCUCUCUCUCUCUCUCUCUCUCUCUCUCUCUCUCUCUCUCUCUCUCUCUCUCUCUCUCUCUCUCUCUCUCUCUCUCUCUCUCUCUCUCUCUCUCUCUCUCUCUCUCUCUCUCUCUCUCUCUCUCUCUCUCUCUCUCUCUCUCUCUCUCUCUCUCUCUCUCUUUCUCUUUCUCUCUCAAGAAUCGCCCCCCCACCAACACACACACGAUCCCUUGGUAUCCAUAGGAUGGAGCUCCAGCAUCCCUUGCAAUUAUCAAAAUCUGCAGAUAAUCAAGUCCCCGAGAGUUGGCCCUUCUUGUCCAAGAGUUUCUCAUCCAAGAUCUCAAGCAGUCACAGAUCAGAUAUGCUUACAGUUGGUUGAAUCUGCGGAUGCAGAACCUACAAAUAUGGAGGGCACUCUGUAGACUUACACACAUCCCAUUGAUUCUGUUUCUCUGAAGAUCCCUGGCAACUGCAGAGUUAAACACCUUUUAAGUCUCUGGAAAUUAUCCAAAGGGGCAUACAACAAAUGAAGAAACAUUUAUUCUAGGACACCAGUAAAUGGUUGUAGAUAACAGCAAGAAUCUCUGGCAAUUUAUCCACAACCUCCUUCCUUGUUCUCCUCACCCCAAGCAGAAGUGACAGGAAGCUGUGUUCCAGACACGUGUAGCCAAAAACACAGGGCUCCAUCUUAUCCCAGCUCCCAGUCUCCAGCUAUAAAAUCUCCACAGGAGGGCAGGUCACCAGCAUUGGUAUCCUCCCCAGCUCCGUGGCAGAAGCACCUCAGCUGAGAGUGGCUGAGAGAUUUUGGGCUCCCUUCCCGUAAUCAGUUCACACUGUAGAGUGGAUGCUUAGUAGGUCAAGAAUACUGGACUCCAAUAGCCCUUGUUCCAGUUUGCUUGUAUAGUAGUUUCCGUGCUAGGGAAGGCACAUUGAGAAGAACUGUCUAUACCUCAUGAACAAAGCAGCAGAGAAGCCUGUAGGUACUGUCCUUGUCCCAAGCUCUGGAGCAGAGUUCUGAGGUUUUACACAGCCAGAGUGGUAGUCCAUAAAUAUUCCAAGAUUCCUUGCUGUCCUCAAAGAAACUGGCUUUACUUGAAAGAGAACAUGGGGAGGUUCGAGAGCUGUGGUCACAGUCAUAAACAAUGGAUGUGUUCAUGUAAGCAAUGAGACUGCUGGAUCCCUGAGAGCAACAAGCUGAACCAUAGACCAGCUGGUCUCAUAACAGACAGAACCUGGGACAGAGACUGCGAAGUGCCUUCUUGGUUGGAAUAAUCCUCAAAGACUGGACUUAAAGACUACCAGAGCAAAAAUGCCUGAAUUUAAUUAGAUUCUCUUGUAGGACAAUUAAUACCUCUGGAUGUUGCUGAAAACCACGGGACGUCAUUCUACAAUUAGUGUAAGCUAACAGCCAGGUGGAAUACCAAUUGAGGCAUAAUGAUGAACACAGAGUUGAGAGAAAGAGCCUUGACCUAAUCAUUGCCACAUGAGGAUGAAAAUGCCCAAGCCCGCACCAUCUGAUGGGCAAUGUCUGAGGCUGCACACUACAGAGAACAGACAUCACUGAAACAGUCCUGCCAAGGCACUAAACUAAAAAAGAAGCAAACAACAACAACUAGAGGAAGGGGAAUGGAAAUUAGUAACCAGAAUUGCUAUGGUAUAUUAUUGAAAGUAUCCAGGUUUUUUUUAACUGUGGUUUACACACACCUACACACACAGAGACACUUACCUGGACACACACACAGGAAUAAAGGAAUGUGUGAUUCACA